AUUGAACGCUGGCGGCGGGCCUAACACAUGCAAGUCGAGCGGAUGAAGGGAGCUUGCUCCUGGAUUCAGCGGCGGACGGGUGAGUAAUGCCUAGGAAUCUGCUUGGUAGUGGGGGACAACGUUUCGAAAGGAACGCUAAUACCGCAUACGUCCUACGGGAGAAAGCAGGGGACCUUCGGGCCUUGCGCUAUCAGAUGAGCCUAGGUCGGAUUAGCUAGUUGGUGAGGUAAUGGCUCACCAAGGCGACGAUCCGUAACUGGUCUGAGAGGAUGAUCAGUCACACUGGAACUGAGACACGGUCCAGACUCCUACGGGAGGCAGCAGUGGGGAAUAUUGGACAAUGGGCGAAAGCCUGAUCCAGCCAUGCCGCGUGUGUGAAGAAGGUCUUCGGAUUGUAAAGCACUUUAAGUUGGGAGGAAGGGUUGUAGAUUAAUACUCUGCAAUUUUGACGUUACCGACAGAAUAAGCACCGGCUAACUCUGUGCCAGCCGCCGCAGUAAAAC
rnacentral:rRNA from 1 species